GGGUGUGACAAUGAUCUGGCUGUAACAUCUGUGAGCCCACGGGGGUUGAUUCAACUCAUCAGGCUGGCUAGGCAGGUGUCCCCUUCCUCCCUCACUACUCCAUGUGCAUCCCUCAUGAAGCUGUGUGCUCGGUUGAAGAGGAUAAUCUUUCCCAAAUAGAAGACUAGGAGUAGGAGGGCUCCCUGCUAGGACUUCUAAAGAAGCUCUCAAAAGCCCACACCUAACCUGCCUGCUGCCUGGGAAUCAGAAUGUAGAGCUCUCGGGUACUGCUCCAACACCAUGUCUGCCUGUCUGCUGCCUACAAUA
ensembl:misc_RNA 7SK 7SK RNA